rnacentral:hammerhead_ribozyme from 1 species
AUCCAGCUGACGAGUCCCAAACAGGAACAAAGGCGCUUCCUGGAU